CCUCAACUGCGCGGUCGCUUCACACCGCUACGCAUCCAGCGUCUUCGCCGCCGGCGAAAGGGCCAUGAUCUACGUCGAUGGCCUUCCUCUUACGACCACCGACCCUUCUUUUAAGGGUAGCUAGCUCUUAGCAUUUCUACUUGAACAUCCGAUGCUUAUCGCAGCUUCAAAUCGCCUCAAGGCGAUGCCCGAGAAAAAUGUCCCGUUCUCUCUAGCCAAGUACUUUUGGGGUUUGGAUAGAGUGUGGGCAUGGAACAAUGGUUUUUUCCCUCCAUCUUGAUUGGAGGUGCUGAGUUCAAAAAACCGAAAAGUCUCCCUAAUUUGGGUAAUUUAAGGUAAUGCUGCUUGCUAGGGAUGGUAAUUAUGUUGGAAAGUUAAAGCUUGCUCGUUAAUAGGUCUAAUUU